UCCCAUCUGUCGAGUUGAUGAGGAUCGAUAAAACAUGUGUUUCAAGAAUGUCUCUUCACACGCCAAAUCUUGCAAGAUUUAAAAGUGGCGUCCUCACCCUCCAAGAAUGAAGUUAGUUGGAAAAUUUGGUUAGCAAAAGAAUUUAUUAACAAUAAUCAGGACAUAUGCAAGGUGAUUAUCAUUACUUUUUUUGGGCAUUAUAGCAUAAUCGUCACAGAACCUACCAUGAAGGAGCUAUCCAAAAUGUCGAUGGAUUAAUUGCAUUUAUUAAGGCAUACAUUCAAGAACUAGAGAAUCUAGGAAAUGCAACAACAAUUAUGCAAAGAGUACCGGAAUGUUACAAAUGGGAACCACCAAUAGGAGAAGUCAUGAAAGAAAAAUCUGACGCCUCAUUCCAUCAAAAUACAAAAGUGCAGCAAUUGGGAUUCUAGUUAGAAAUAGAGAGGGUCUAGUAAUGGUGGCAUGCAGUUACCCGUAUAAGCAUGUGGCAGAUUCAACAGUGGCUGGAAACAAAGGCAUUUUUGCAAACCCUAAUUUUUAUUGAGGAGCUAGGGUUUUGAAAUAUUUUGGUGGAGGGGGAU
rnacentral:lncRNA from 1 species